UACGGAGGGGGCUAGCGUUGUUCGGAAUUACUGGGCGUAAAGCGCACGUAGGCGGCUUUGUAAGUUAGAGGUGAAAGCCCGGGGCUCAACCCCGGAAUUGCCUUUAAGACUGCAUCGCUAGAAUUGUGGAGAGGUAAGUGGAAUUCCGAGUGUAGAGGUGAAAUUCGUAGAUUUUCGGAAGAACACCAGUGGCGAAGGCGACUUACUGGACACAUAUUGACGCUGAGGUGCGAAAGCGUGGGGAGCAAACAGG
rnacentral:rRNA from 1 species